AGCUACGUCCACGAUUGAACUUCUGACGCCUUUUGGCUAUUAUAUCGUUGUCUACUUAUAUCGCCCUAAAUUUUCCGUGUGGACGUCUUGUUUUGUUCAAGUGGACAGCCACAAAACGCCCUAUAAAGUUCCAGUGUGGACACAGUUUAACUAUAAAAACCACCACCGGGCAUCAAUGUUUGCUAUUUGCUUGCUGCUGCCAGGUCAAGAUUAGCCGCCAUCUUUCGUCCUUCACCUUUCAAGUUCCUGUUCAAAAAGUAAGAAUACUACCCUUUUGAAUUAACUAGGUUCCCUUUUUAAACAUAUGCAAAAUCAACCAAUAAUAAUCACCAAUCAUUUAAAGUUUAAAAUUUUCUUUUUUUCAUUACACUGAGAUUACAUUUGAACAAAUUGGCAAACGCGUUAAGAAUGGCAGUCAAUUUUUGUUGUAUUGUUUGUGCUUAUUUUUGUAUCAGUAAUUAGACUUUUGUUUUUGUACACUCGAGCCGGUUGCAGUUGAAGGGCGUGUUAAUAUGAAGAGAAGGUCAUAAUCAAAAUAAUAGUGAAACGCAUAUCACAACGACAGACA